UAGGGAAUCUUCGGCAAUGGACGGAAGUCUGACCGAGCAACGCCGCGUGAGUGAAGAAGGUUUUCGGAUCGUAAAGCUCUGUUGUAAGAGAAGAACGAGUGUGAGAGUGGAAAGUUCACACUGUGACGGUAUCUUACCAGAAAGGGACGGCUAACUACGUGCCAGCAGCCGCGGUAAUACGUAGGUCCCGAGCGUUGUCCGGAUUUAUUGGGCGUAAAGCGAGCGCAGGCGGUUAGAUAAGUCUGAAGUUAAAGGCUGUGGCUUAACCAUAGUACGCUUUGGAAACUGUUUAACUUGAGUGCAAGAGGGGAGAGUGGAAUUCCAUGUGUAGCGGUGAAAUGCGUAGAUAUAUGGAGGAACACCGGUGGCGAAAGCGGCUCUCUGGCUUGUAACUGACGCUGAGGCUCGAAAGCGUGGGGAGCAAACAGGAUUAGAUACCCUGGUAGUCCACGCCGUAAACGAUGAGUGCUAGGUGUUAGACCCUUUCCGGGGUCUAGUGCCGUAGCUAACGCAUUAAGCACUCCGCCUGGGGAGUACGACCGCAAGGUU
rnacentral:rRNA from 1 species